CACGUAGGAGGCGAGCGUUGUCCGGAAUCAUUGGGCGUAAAGAGCGCGCAGGCGGCCCGGCAAGUCGGGUGUGAAAUCCCGGGGCUCAACCCCGGGACUGCAUUCGAUACUGCCGGGCUAGAGGUAGGUAGGGGAGAUCGGAAUUCCUGGUGUAGCGGUGAAAUGCGCAGAUAUCAGGAGGAACACCGGUGGCGAAGGCGGAUCUCUGGGCCUUACCUGACGCUCAGGCGCGAAAGCUAGGGGAGCGAACAGG
rnacentral:rRNA from 1 species